GAAGGGUAUCCCCACAGCGAAGCAAUCUUAGAUCUUCAGCCAGAGCGGACCCUUUGGCGACAGCGGACGGAGAAGGCAGCGCGGGGCUUCGUGCCCAUUGUACAGAUGAGAAAGCUGAGGCUCAAGGAAGUAGAAGCAGUGACUUGCUCGAAGUCAAAUUGGAGUGCUCAAAAACAUAAGGACCUAACACCGACUGGACCUCCCUAAGUCUGUGCUUUCUGCCAUUUACAAAUGUAAUAACCAUUCUUAGUUUGUGGGCCAUACAAAAACAGACGAUGCCCGGAUUUGGCCCACAGGCAAUGGCUCGUCCCUGCUGCUUUGGAGUUUGAGGUGGGUCCUUCUCGCUGCUCUGCCCCCUUGGCUGCUCUUGUAGGAGUGAGUAAAUAAUGCUUUUUUAACUUCAUUUAAUUUUUUUUUUUACUUUUACAAAUUCGUAUCUGCUUUCACAAUAUUAAACUCUCUCUUAGUCGCCCCCUCGGUUUUACGGAGACAGAAUCGACCUAUAACAUUGGAUAAGUUUAAAGCAUGCCACGGCAUGGUGUGAUAUAAAAGUAUAUUGUAGAAUCAUGGCCACAGUUCACUUCACGUCCGUCACUUCUUACAAGACGCUUUUUCAUGUGAUGGGAACUUGCAAGGUCGACACUCUCAGCAACUUUCAAAUACACAGUACAGUAGUGUUAACCAGAGUCGCCACGCUGUGUAUGAUAUCCCCACGACUUCCUUGUUUUGUACUUGGAAGUUUGUAGCUUUUGACCACUUUGACCCAUCUUCCCCCACCCUUGCCUCUGGAAGCUGCCAAUCUGUUCUCUGUACCUACGAGUUUUGCUUUAUUUGUUCGUUCUUACAUUCCACGCCUAAGACGUCAUAUGGUAUUUGUCUUUCUCUGUCUGGUUUAUUUCGCUUAACAUAAUGCCUUCAAGGUCCAUCUAGGUGGUCACAAAUGGCAGGGCUUUCUUUUGUUCCCGGCUGAGUGAUGUUCCAUUAUGUGUAUUGACAGCCAGCACUCAGCAUAAGGAAGGCUCUCGAGCGUCUGGACCUGCCCUGGCUCACAGCCUUGCAUCCCUUUGCGACAUAUGCUUGCCCUUGUGGGACCUUCCCUCUCUGCUCCAAGUGACUUACCAGAAUAUGUCUUCUGUACGCGUAGAGGGCUGUCCCUAAGAGGAAUUUUCGUGAAUGAAAUGAUCUCUAGCCCCUUCACAGCCCCCAUGGUAAUGGGCCAAACACAGAAGGAGUGUCCAGCUUUGCUGUGGAGACCAGACAAGCUGCCUGGGGGCACAGAAGGCCAGGUGACAGCACAGCCAGGUGAAGAGAGAGAAAAGAGCGUCCGCAGGGUGCACCUGCGCACAAGGCUGCAUGACCCCCGUGCAAGCUCUGAAAUGGUCAGGAUGCACUAGAGCCCCUGGGUCUCUCUGAGGAGCAGGGCUGGUGGCUUAGAGGGACCAACUUAUUCAUCCCGCAUGCUGGGACUCAGCCACAGACAAGGGACAAGCGGCCUUUAAACAUCAGGCCUCAGAGUUGGGGGCGGAUGUCGCAGCUCUGGGGAGGGACGCUGGCCAACUGCCAGUGUUGGAGGACGUGAUCCCAUUUCCCUGGCCAUUUCCAAAUCCCCCCCGCACCCCCACCAUUGUUUUCACUACAUCUUUAACCCCAGAUGGCACUAGCUUUGCUGUCCUUGGGGGUUCGACUUAAUUUGAGCUUUGACGCCCAUCGUGCAACCGGCCUCAGAAUUUGGGCCCCCGGAGUGGCAGGUGGUGAGGAUGUCCCAGGGCUGAACGGGAUGGUUUCCGGGAGUCUCCGCCCAAGGGGGCUUCCCCCAGGGACCUGCUUUUCCCUCGUAGCCUCUUGAGAGCAGGCUCUGCGAAGCCAGGGCCCGGUUCCCGCCGUCCAGGCCCCAGCACUGACCGGGUGCAGGGUGGAGCCCAGCCAGCAUCGUCUAGUCCCGAGAAGCAACCAAGGGGCAAACACGGGAUGGUCUGUGGGGUGGGACCGAUCUGCGACACAGAGCUCAGCCUCUGCUCUUGACUUUGGCUUUGCCUGAGCGGUGACUGGGGCUGUAUCUCCACAAGACGGUGGAGAACCUGGUUUCCUGCUAGGGCGUGGCUAGUUGGCUGGGAAAUGGGAGACUAGGCCAGACGGCGGGAACCGGAAAUUCUCCCGCUGUGGCCACAGCUUCUGCAGUUGGUCUCCUCCUGAUGCUGAGGACAAGUGUAGAGUUCUCCAUCCAUGUGACUGAAGAACGGGGGCUUGGGGGUGGUAAGUGGAUGUUCCUAAAGUCACCUUCCGGCAGAAUGGGGCUGGGGCUUGUGGCUCAGCCAGGCUCGGGGGACCCACACCCGCCAGCUAGCUGAGUGGGGGCUCCACUCCUUCCUUUUUGAGAGCAGGGAUUUUAUUCCUGCCUCUUGGACUGUAAAGGGUUUGUAUUGCUUUCUUGUUGCUCCCCAGAUACAAGUGCUGGACUGGGGGCAGAGGACAUGGCCGACUCCACCCCACCUGUGACUCCCGUUUUUGCCUUCAGGGACCACGAACCCAGCUCUCUGGGCUCCAUGUGGCUGGGACCUUUCUCCCACCUUCUCCUGAUUUCCCCCAAGGAUUGAUCUUAUUCAUUCCUGAAUUUCCCCUAAAUUAGAUCCUGUGAACAUUUAGUUGCUGGAAACACACAGUGGGCAAAAAAAGGCCCGGGCCCGAAGCUGAGAGAACCCCAGGGUAGGCCUCUGAGAGGGCUGGUCCCCA